rnacentral:rRNA from 1 species
UACGGAGGGUGCAAGCGUUAUCCGGAUUCACUGGGUUUAGAGGGUGCGUAGGCGGGCUGGUAAGUCAGUGGUGAAAUCUCCGGGCUUAACCCGGAAACUGCCGUUGAUACUAUCUGUCUUGAAUAUCGUGGAGGUAAGCGGAAUAUGUCAUGUAGCGGUGAAAUGCUUAGAUAUGACAUAGAACACCCAUUGCGAAGGCAGCUUACUACACGAUCAUUGACGCUGAGGCACGAAAGCGUGGGGAGCAAACAGG